AGGUGGCAAGGCGCGGCCGAGCCCCGCACACCCCGCUCCCCGAGCCCCAGCCAGCCGGCUCCAGAGAGAGGCCAGCGCGCGGACGGAAGGCUGUGCGAAGAGACCCAUUGUGACAUCGGAAGAGGAGCCAUGAGCCUACCUCCAGGCCCUGACAAAUGUGGACCAGGCAUCUUGAGGAUGGAGUUGGACCAGGCCUUCUCGCCUUGGUCGUUACACUGGAAGACUGCCCGCGAAACAGCUGAGUGGCCCAUAGAGGAUGAAGCGGUAGUAAGCCUACAGCAUAGGCAGAUUUGGUGGUCACUGCCCUUAGCGAAAGCGUUGACCAGGCUUGAACCCCCACUUCAAGCCCCCAUCCCCCCCACUACCAUCGUGGACCUUCUCCAGCCACCCUUGUUCCAGGAGAUGCUGAGUAUGGAUUCUCGGACCGUAUUGGGAGUUUUCUUGCACUAAAGGGACAAAAGCAGCGCUUGAAUCUCCCGAUGCUGAUACUGAGCUGUAGAUAGGGGAGGAGGGGCCUUAAUCGCUCAUCUUUCCACACCGAAUGUGCUGGAGUUGGCUCUUUGGAGCUCCAGAGGCGGAAAGGAGGAAACAAAGGAAGAUUUGGGGAAGUGGGAAGUGGUAAUACAGGGUUGGGGCGAUGUGAGUAGCACCCCAGGGUGCAGAAGGAGAGCUCUGUAGACCAGAUUUGACUGGCGCAACUCGGGUCUUACCUUGCAGGCACUGGAGGCUGAGUUUCCAUAGGCUCUGGUAGGAGCAGAGUUUCCUCCGUGGGCAGGAAGUUAGGAAGAGCUUUUUUGUUGAUGCCUUUCUAUCAACUGGUUACCCGGACCACUGGUUUUUAUUGAGGGGACAUGGGCAUCUCUACCUCUUAGGUGCCACCUGCUGAGUUUGGCUGUUGCAGGAGACCUAAAGGUGCUUCUACCCGAGUCCAGUUACUUUGGUAAUUGGGCAGGAAUCUGGACAAAUUCUCACCAAAAGCUGAUCAGAGGCCAGGCUCGAGGGGACAUUCAGGGUAGUGAGCUUAGAUAGGCAGUUUCCGCUCUGGGACGUCAAGAAGAGUGUUCUUAGCUCUAAGAAGGCGACCUUAUUGAGGAAGACUUUAUAUUUCUUGUUCUUUGUUUUCUGCUUGUUAGGGAUCAAUUUUAUUCCUUUAAUUUUUAUUUUACAGGCAUUUUCAAUGAGUUUUAAUUAUAGAGGGCAUGCUCACAGUAAACAGUCCAAUGAGAAAUAAGUCCUCCAUUUCUCCAUUCCUAAGUUUCCAUCUUAGUACUCUAUUAUUCAUCUCUCUGUCAUCUAUCACCAGCCUUCCUACUUGUAAGGUCCCUUGUGGUCAUACCUUGCUAUACAAAUAAAGCCUGUCUGAGAGUCAGGGAAUGGAGCUUGCCACUAGGUAACCAUAGAAGUCUGGAGGUGUGUACAGACAGGAAGUGAGGUGGCUGGGCAGAAACAGGAUAUAAGGGAGAAACAGGAAGGCGCACACUGGUCGGCUGAGACGCUAAGGUGUGCUGUGGCGUGCUGUGGCUUGCUCCUUCUCUCUGAUCUCUCAGCAUUUCCCUCUAUAUCUGACUCUGGCUUUUUAUUACCUAGGCCAAUUAAGAACUCCAUUUACAGUCCCUUCAAAAAUUCAAAUGGGAAUCUUUAGUUUAAGGCUAGCCUGAGCUAUACAUGAAGACCCUGCUUUAAAAAGAAAGCAAAACCACCAAGACAAAUGGAAUCAUGCUCUCUGUCACCUUCUGUCUCCACACUUAAAGUAUCAAAAGCACUGUUGCAACUUGAUGCACUAUUUUUGUACUUCCCCCUCAAUAUGAACACAUAGUAAUAUAUCGAACAAUGCCACUGGUAGGUUAUUGUCAACACCCUUCAUUAAAGGCUUUACUGAUUGGUUAAGCAGCACUCAAUAUAGCAUCCCUGUGUAUGUACUCUUGUGUACCUUUGCAGGUCUAUCUGUGCGAUAUUGCAGAGUAUAUCAUUGUUCUAACGGACUUCCUAACAAGUGUCUCCAACCUUGGAAUCUCUGCCGUGAUUAGAAUGCCUUUUGUCUGCUGACAAGUACCCUGAGGUUGCUGGGGUCCUAGGCAGCAUGUAGAUGGAGAAUGGUCUCUAAGAAGGCCAGAGCAUGAUUAGUUGGGACUUUUGGCCCUGUUUCCAACCUCCAGGGAAGGAAAAGGGGCCCAACGUUGAGUUGAUUACCAAUAACCAAUGAUGCAAUUGACCACAUCAAUAUAAUAAAGCAUUUAUAGAAUCCCAAAA